GGGGGGUUGGUGUAAUUGGUAACAUAGUGGGUCAUGACCCAAUGUCUUAGGUUCAAAUCUAAACCCCCCA
rnacentral:tRNA from 1 species